rnacentral:rRNA from 1 species
AACGUAGGAGACAAACGUUAUCCGGAGUUACUGGGCGUAAAGGGCGUGUAGGUGGUUGCGUAAGUCUGGCGUGAAAUUUUUCGGCUUAACCGGGAAAGGUCGUCGGAUACUGCGUAACUAGAGGACCGGAGAGGAUAGUGGAAUUCCCAGUGUAGUGGUGAAAUACGUAGAGAUUGGGAAGAACACCAGUGGCGAAGGCGGCUAUCUGGACGGUUUCUGACGCUAAGACGCGAAAGCGUGGGGAGCAAACAGG